rnacentral:ncRNA from 1 species
GUAAAAUUUAAUUUUAGUUUAAAGAUUAAGUAAUAUUUUUUAUUAUAUAUAAAUUUUAUUUAAAGAAAUUGUUUGUAGUAUUUAAAUUUAUUAAUAUAAUAAUUUAUGAUUUAGAAAUAAUAUUAAGUAUAGACUAAUUUUGUGCCAGCAGUUGCGGUUAUACAAAUUAUACAAUUUAAUUAUUUUAAUUUAAAUUAAUUAGAGUAUAAGUUAUGUAAUUAGUUAUUUUGAGGUGAAAUUCUAUAAUUUAUAAUAAUAACUUUUUUUUGUUAGUAAAAUUUUUAAAUUUUAGUUAUAAACUAGGAUUAGAUACCCUAUUAUUUAAAUAGUUGCAAUAAAAUUAAAUUAUUAAUAGCUAUGUUCUUUAAAAUUAAAAAAUUUGGCGGUAUUUUAAUCUUUUCAGAGGAACCUGUUUAUUAAAUGAUAUCCCACGAUUUAAUUUACUUAUGUUAUAAGCUUAUAUAUCGUUGUUAAAAAUAUUUUUAAAGAAAUUUAAUAUUUAAAUAUUAUAAUAAUAAAAAAAAUCAGAUCAAGAUGUAGUGUAUACAUGAGUAUAAAUGGGUUACAUUAAUUUUAAUUGAGGUUUAAAUUUUUAAGAAUUUAAUUAAUAUGGAUUUGAUAGUAAUUUUAAUUAUUUUAUUAAAAUGAUAUUGUUCUAAAAUAUGUACAUAUUGCCCGUCGCUUUCAUUUAAAAUGAAAUAAGUCGUAACAAAGUAAGUUUACUGGAAAGUGAAUUUAGAUUCAA